AAUGAACGCUGGCGGCGUGCCUAACACAUGCAAGUCGCACGAGAAAGUCUGCUUUCGGGCGGGCGAGUAAAGUGGCGCACGGGUGAGUAACGCGUAGGCAAUCUACCCCCGGGACCGGGAUAACAGUGCGAAAGUGCUGCUAAUACCGGAUACGAUCUUUUGGCGGGAGCUGGAAGGUGAAAGUCGGCCUCUCGAAGAAGCCGAUGUUCGGGGAUGAGCCUGCGUCCUAUCAGCUAGUUGGUAGGGUAACGGCCUACCAAGGCGACGACGGGUAGCUGGUCUGAGAGGAUGAUCAGCCACACUGGCACUGAAACACGGGCCAGACUCCUACGGGUGGCUG
rnacentral:rRNA from 1 species